GAUGAACGCUAGCGGCAGGCUUAAUACAUGCAAGUCGAGGGGCAGCAUGACUGUAGCAAUACAGUUGAUGGCGACCGGCAAACGGGUGCGGAACACGUACAGAACCUUCCUUCGAGCGGGGAAUAGCCCAGAGAAAUUUGGAUUAAUACCCCAUAGUACAACGGAGUGGCAUCACUUUGUUGUUAAAGAUUUAUCACUUGAAGAUGGCUGUGCGGCUGAUUAGGUAGUUGGCGGGGUAACGGCCCACCAAGCCUGCGAUCAGUAACUGAUGUGAGAGCACGAACAGUCACACGGGCACUGAGACACGGGCCCGACUCCUACGGGAGGCAGCAGUAAGGAAUAUUGGUCAAUGGACGAAAGUCUGAACCAGCCAUGCCGCGUGGAGGAUGAAGGUCCUCUGGAUUGUAAACUUCUUUUAUAUGGGACGAAAAAAAGGGUUUUCUAACUCGUCUGACGGUACCAUAUGAAUAAGCACCGGCUAACUCCGUGCCAGCCGCCGCAGUAACAC
rnacentral:rRNA from 1 species